GCAUUUGCAUGUCCUUUUGGAUUAGGUUGUGGCUGUCCAGGAAAUGUGCCAGUGGGAGCAGCAGUAGAUGCUUGUUGUUGAGCCACUUGUGAAAUCUAUGUUUCAAGCAUUUUGUUAUGGGUGGCUAAGGCGUCUACUUUGCUCGCUAAUUGUUUAAGUUGCUCACUAGUAUGUAUGUUUUGGUUCAAGAAGUCUUUGUUUGUUUG
rnacentral:lncRNA from 1 species